GGGUUCCGGAUUGAGGCUUUCCGUCUGAACCGUGUUUUCCUGGAUCUCCGGGGUUUUUUCUUCUGGUCCUUCUUGGAGCAACGCAAAGGCUAUUUGUGUUUAGCCGUUUGGGACUUCCGUUUUUGGUUCAGAACCCCUACAAAUAUAAAAAAAAAUCUUUCUAUCCUA